rnacentral:rRNA from 1 species
CACCAGGUUGAUUCUCGCCUGACUGUGGAUGCUAGUCCCAUAGAUUUAGCCAUGCAUGUGUAAGUGAAGCGAUAAGUGGAACGCGCGGACGGCUCAGUAACUGGGCAUUAGUAUUUAAUCUCUUUAUAUGGACAACCUCAGGAAACAGAGGGGAAAACAUAUUAGAUUCAUUUUAUAUAAGAAGAAUGAAUUGAGAACAAAUGAAAAUUUUUAUUUGUGAAAGAGAGUAAGAAGCCAUCCUAUCAGUUAGUAAGUAGGGUAAGGGCCUACUUAGACAAGGACGGGUACGGGGGAUUAGGGUUUGAUUCCGGAGAGGGAGCCUGAGAGAUGGCUACCAGGUCCAAGGACAGCAGCAGGCGCGAAAAUUACCACAGUCCACAUUGGAGCGGUAGUGAAGGGACGUAAAAACAAAGAUGUGUAGAUAACAUCUGUGUAACUGGAGGUCAAGUCUGGUGCCCAGCAUCCGCGGUAAUACCAGCUCCAGGAGUGUCUAUGAUGAUUGCUGCGAUUAAAAGGUCCGUAGUCUAAGAAUGAAACUUGUCCUGUAAUGUGGGAAUCUCUAGUACCAAAUACGACCGAGAAGAAUUCCAGAGUUAGGAGCGAAGGAGGGCUAGAUUAUUGAGCAGCGAGAGGUGAAAUUUGAUGACCUGCUUAGGAGUACAAGAGGCCGAAAGCGCUAGUCAAGAACGAAUCCGAUGAUCAAGGACGUAGGCUGGAGUAUCAAACACGAUUAGAGACCGUAGUAGUUCCAGCAGUAAACUAUGCCUACACUGUUGUAUUUAUGUUUUAUAGAUGUGAGUGUGACAGAAGAGAAAUCUAGUAGGGCUUUGGGGAGAGUACGCGCGCAAGCGAUAAAUUUAAAGGAAAUUGACGGAAGAACACCACAAGGAGUGGAGUGUGCGGCUUAAUUUGACUCAACGCGGGACAACUUACCAUAGCCAAUGAUCAAGUAAGCGUAGUACGCGAUAGAUCAGAGAGUGGUGCAUGGCCGUUAUCAACUAGUGAGGUGACUUUUGGGUUAAGUCCGUUAAGUAGUGAGAUCCCUAGGGUUGGCUAAAUAUGUGAUGCUUAUGUGUUAUGUGUUGAAGCUAUAUCGACAGGAGCGAGAAGCGCCGGAAGGAAGGGGCAAGAACAGGUCAGUGAUGCCCUUAGAUGGUAUGGGCUGCACGCGCACUACAGUGGUUACAAUAGAUAUUUUAUAGAAGUAAAUGUAAUCGAGAGGGAAUGAGCACUGUAAUGUGCACAGGAACGAGGAAUUGCUAGUAAUCGUUGCCUCAUUAAGGAGCGAUGAAUAUGUCCCUGUUCUUUGUACACACCGCCCGUCGUUAUCGAAGAUGGAACCAGGUGCGAACAAGCGAAAGCGAGUGAGUGCAGGGUUCUAGAUCUGAUACAAGUCGUAACAAGGCAGCUGUAGGAGAACCUGUAGCUGGAUCAACA